rnacentral:rRNA from 1 species
AAGAGCUUGCUCUUAUGAAGUUAGCGGCGGACGGGUGAGUAUUACGUUUUUAACCUGCCCAUAAGACUGGGAUAACUCCGGGAAACCGGGGCUAAUACCGGAUAACAUUUUGAACCGCAUGGUUCGAAAUUGAAAGGCGGCUUCGGCUGUCACUUAUGGAUGGACCCGCGUCGCAUUAGCUAGUUGGUGAGGUAACGGCUCACCAAGGCAACGAUGCGUAGCCGACCUGAGAGGGUGAUCGGCCACACUGGGACUGAGACACGGCCCAGACUCCUACGGGAGGCAGCAGUAGGGAAUCUUCCGCAAUGGACGAAAGUCUGACGGAGCAACGCCGCGUGAGUGAUGAAGGCUUUCGGGUCGUAAAACUCUGUUGUUAGGGAAGAACAAGUGCUAGUUGAAUAAGCUGGCACCUUGACGGUACCUAACCAGAAAGCCACGGCUAACUACGUGCCAGCAGCCGCGGUAAUACGUAGGUGGCAAGCGUUAUCCGGAAUUAUUGGGCGUAAAGCGCGCGCACGUGGUUUCUUAAGUCUGAUGUGAAAGCCCACGGCU